UUAUGCUUAUACUAAGGGGUAGGUUUCUUGGUGGACAAGGUGAUGUCAGCAUUGGUUCAAGGCUCAAUACUAUUAUGGUUUUAUUAUGAUUCUUGAAUUUUGUUUAAAUUUUACACCAUAAGUACAUGGAAAAAUCCUGUAAUGAUGACAAAUCUCAAUGCUUUUAUUUGUUUGUAGUUGAAUAUUUCCUCCUGAUAAGUACGAAAGUUCAAUGUUAAAUUAGGAAGUGAAAUAGGCAUACCAGAUAAAGGAUGUUGAAAUGAUGUCCCUAAUAGGGUGGGAGGAGCAAAAAAAGGCUGAAAAUACUGUUUCAGAGACUCUUGUUUUGGCUGAGAACAUUAUAUGUCAAACAAAGUAGCGUUAAUUCAAGGCAAUUUGGUGCAAAGCUUUAAAUGAUAUUGCACAGUUUUAUUAUUUUUG
rnacentral:misc_RNA from 1 species